UACAGAGGUCCCGAGCGUUGUUCGGAUUCAUUGGGCGUAAAGGGUGCGUAGGUGGCGGGGUAAGUCAGGUGUGAAAUCUCGAGGCUCAACCUCGAAACUGCACUUGAUACUGCCUUGCUUGAGUACUGGAGAGGAGAUUGGAAUUUACGGUGUAGCAGUGAAAUGCGUAGAUAUCGUAAGGAAGACCAGUGGCGAAGGCGAAUCUCUGGACAGUUACUGACACUGAGGCACGAAGGCCAGGGGAGCAAACGGG
rnacentral:rRNA from 1 species